AACGAACGCUGGCGGCAUGCCUAACACAUGCAAGUCGAACGAGACCUUCGGGUCUAGUGGCGCACGGGUGCGUAACGCGUGGGAACCUGCCCUUAGGUUCGGAAUAACUCCCCGAAAGGGGUGCUAAUACCGGAUAAUGUCUUCGGACCAAAGAUUUAUCGCCUUUGGAUGGGCCCGCGUUGGAUUAGCUAGUUGGUAGGGUAAAAGCCUACCAAGGCGACGAUCCAUAGCUGGUCUGAGAGGAUGAUCAGCCACACUGGGACUGAGACACGGCCCAGACUCCUACGGGAGGCAGCAGUGGGGAAUAGUGGACAGCGGGCGAAAGCCUGAUCCAGCAAUGACGGGUGAGUGAUGAAGGCCGUAGGGUUGUAAAGCUCUUUUAACCGGGAUGAUAAUGACGGUACCGGGAGAAUAAGCUCCGGCUAACUACGUG
rnacentral:rRNA from 1 species